rnacentral:rRNA from 1 species
UACAGAGGGUGCAACCGUUGCUCGGAAUCAUUGGGCGUAAAGCGCACGUAGGCGGCCCAGCAAGUGGGGCGUGAAAGCCCUCGGCUUAACCGAGGAAGUGCUUUCCAAACUACUGGGCUUGAAUACUGGAGAGGGUCGCGGAAUUCCCGGUGUAGAGGUGAAAUGCGUAGAUAUCUGGAGGAACACCGGUGGCGAAGGCGGCAUCCUGGACCGAGAUUGACGCUGAUGCGCGAAAGCCAGGGGAGCAAACGGG